rnacentral:siRNA from 1 species
UAGCAGAAACAGUUUUAGCGCA